rnacentral:lncRNA from 1 species
GGUCUCAAAGUCAGGAGGAGUCCCGCCCACCUCCUGGUUCAGCACGCCAUGGUGAGCAUCGUGUCUUCAUCUCCGAAAAGGUCUGGCAGAAGCUAACACCCAGCAGCCUGAUUCCUGGAGGGGUUGUUAGACCCAUUUUAUAAAAGGGAGGAUUAAGACUGAGCAGGUCUUCAAGCACCUGAGGUGGACUUCCCUGCCCCAUGUACCGCUAUUUUGGCUGUUUUGUACUUGGUGGAGCAGAAAGAAUGCUAAAGCAGGAAUGCAGGUGAUUCUGAAGCUCGGCCUUGAAGGGAUCACCACUAGAUAUUUUCCCUUAUGGUCUCUGCAGGACAAUAGACCAAGGAGACGGAGACACUGGUAUGUGCAUAUUCUGCGGCGCAACAGCAGAAAGGAUGGAGGGCCUUUAUGUUGUCUGAUAAUGCAGCUCUUUGAAACAUUGCUGGCGGACUCUCUUCACAUCAUGUCACACAGGACAAGAAACGGGACAGGCCCUCUCUGCUUCUCGAUUCAUCGACCUGCCAUACAAUACAACAAACCAGCUUUUUCAAGGCCCCCUGAAUGA